rnacentral:rRNA from 1 species
UACAGAGGUGGCAAGCGUUGUUCGGAAUUAUUGGGCGUAAAGGGCGCGUAGGCGGCCUGACAAGUGGAAGGUGAAAUCCCUCGGCUCAACUGAGGGACUGCCCUCCAAACUGUUUGGCUUGAGACCGGGAGAGGUGAGUGGAAUUCCCAGUGUAGCGGUGAAAUGCGUAGAUAUCAGGAGGAACACCGAUGGCGAAGGCAGGUCUCUGGGCCGCAACUGACGCUGAGGAGCGAAAGCAUGGGGAGCGAACAGG